UACUAGGGAUGGGAGUUUUCCAGCAUUUGUCAAACAGGUGGUAUUACUGGAUAGAAAUUGGACCCGAGCGUUGCAUCAAGUAUUCACGAAGGUUUGGUAGACAUGGCACUACGAGAACCAAACCACAUACAUUGGAAUCAUAUAUUUACACCGUCGAGAUGGGUGCGCCAACAAGAGCUAGAAAGAAGAGGGUUAUAUUUCUAAGGAAACUAAAGAUAGCACAAAAAUGGUGGAUGUGGUGGAAAAGGAUGCUACGAAUGGUGCAACAAUGAUGAAUGUCAGUAAAACAAAGUCAGUAAAUAAAGCCAUAAAUAAAGUCAGUAACAUAGAAAAAUACCAGUGAAGACUUGGAUAUUUAAGUGAUAAAUAAUCUAACCGCAAGUUUAAAUGAACAUAAUUUAAUUUUAUUAAUUGACUACUUCGAAUUUUAUCAUUUUUAGUAAGAAAAUAUUUUUGUUGCCUGUU